AUGCCGUUACUUAAUUAUUUACCAAUCAUUGCCAUUGGGUUAACAUCGUUCGCCGACCACGUCGCUCCCCUCUCGCAACCAGCAGUUUCGCUCCCCUCUCGCAACCAGCAGCCGUCCGCCACGCCCUUCCCGGCCUUCGCCGCCGCCGCCCUUCUCGGCCGCCGCCUGCCGCUCGCCCACGCCCUUUCUCGGCCGCCGCCCCACGCCGCCCGCCGCUCGCCCACGCCCUUCACGCCCCGCCGCCCAGGCCCUUCUCGGCCUCGCCGGCGGGGCGGCCCUUCACGCCUCGCCGUCCCCCCUUCACGCCGGCGGGCCACGCCCCCGACGGCCGAGCGGCCGAGCGGCACCUCCGGCGCAGGGGGGCCGGGCCGCAGCAGCACGCCCACUGCCGGCGCUCCCCUGGUCAAUACAAGAUUCAGUGCCGGCGCAGCAGUACAAGAUUCGCAGUACUCCGAAGAUGGACAAUAA
rnacentral:rRNA from 1 species